GGAAGGAGUGGGGACCGACCCGGGGCUGUGCCAGAAAAAGUGCCCUCAGGGUUACCUCUCCCCAGCCCUGGGCCCCCAGGUCCCCCCCGAGCACCAAGGCCUGUGCUGGGCACUGGGACCUCUGGAGGGACUCCCUUUCAGAGCCAGGCCUGGGACCCUCCCGAUCCCUGCUUGAUUCCUCCAGUUGGGGGCAUGGCAGGCGUGAAGAGGGCCUCGGAGGACUCUGAGGAGGAGCCGUCAGGGAAGAAGGCUCCAGUCCAGGCGGCCAAGCUGCCCUCGCCCGUCCCAGCCCGGAAGUCUCCACUAUCUCCAGCCCAGACAAACCCUGUGGUCCAGAGGAGGAAUGAGGGUGCAGGGGUCCCGCCCCCCAAGACUGACCAGGCAUUGGCGGGCAGCUUGGUCAGCAGCACCUGCGGGGUCUGCGGCAAGCACGUGCACCUGGUACAGCGGCACCUGGCCGAUGGGAGACUCUACCACCGGAGCUGCUUCAGGUGUAAGCAGUGCUCCUGCACGCUGCACUCGGGGGCCUACAGGGCCACAGGAGAGCCGGGCACCUUCGUCUGCACCAGCCACCUCCCCGCAGCUGCCUCUGCAAGCCCCAAGUUGACGGGUCUGGUCCCCCGACAGCCAGGGGCCAUGGGUGUGGAUUCCAGGACCUCCUGUUCCCCACAGAAGGCCCAGGAGGCAAACAAGGCCAGGCCGUCGGCCUGGGAGCCUGCUGCGGGCAACUCGCCUGCCAGGGCUUCCGUUCCAGCUGCACCCAACCCUGCAGCCACCAGCGCCACGUCCGUCCACGUGAGGAGCCCAGCCAGGCCCUCUGAGAGCCGCCUGGCCCCCACUCCCACGGAG
rnacentral:sRNA from 1 species